rnacentral:rRNA from 1 species
AUUCCAGCUCCAAUAGCGUAUAUUAAAGUUGUUGCAGUUAAAAAGCUCGUAGUUGGAUUUGUGGUGUGUCCAGUCGACCUUUGCUCUUUGAGUGAUUGUGUUGUACUGGUCUGCCAUGUUUGGGUGGAAUCUGUGUGGCAUUAAGUUGUCGUGCAGGGGAUGCCCAUCGUUUACUGUGAAAAAAUUAGAGUGUUCAAAGCAGGCUUAUGCCGUUGAAUAUAUUAGCAUGGAAUAAUGAUAUAGGACCUUGGUACUAUUUUGUUGGUUUGCGCACUAAGGUAAUGAUUAAGAGGGACAGUUGGGGGUAUUUGUAUUCCAUUGUCAGAGGUGAAAUUCUUGGAUUUUUGGAAGACAAACUACUGCGAAAGCAUUUACCAAGGAUGUUUUCAUUA